UACGUAGGGUGCAAGCGUUGUCCGGAAUUAUUGGGCGUAAAGAGCUCGUAGGCGGUUUGUUGCGUCGGCUGUGAAAUCCCGAGGCUCAACCUCGGGUCUGCAGUCGAUACGAGCAAACUAGAGUGUUGCAGGGGAGACUGGAAUUCCUGGUGUAGCGGUGAAAUGCGCAGAUAUCAGGAGGAACACCGGUGGCGAAGGCGGGUCUCUGGGCAACAACUGACGCUGAGGAGCGAAAGCGUGGGGAGCCAAAGGG
rnacentral:rRNA from 1 species